GUGCUCACUUUGGCAACACGUAUACUAAAAUUGGAAGGAUACAGAGAAGAUUAGCAUGGCCCCUGAACAAGGAUUCUAAAUACCUUUCAUUCAUUCAUCAUUCAUUC